GGAUGCCGUGACCUAUGAUGAUAUGCAUGUCAACUUCACUCAAGAGGACUGGGUAUUGCUGGAUCCUUCCCAGAAGAAUGUCUAUAAAGAUGUGAUGCUAGAGACAUAUAUGAACCUCACUGCUAUAGGAUACAAUUGGGAAGAUCUUGAAGUUGAAGAACAUUGUCAAAGUUCUGAAUGACAUGAAAGGUAUGAAAGAAGUCAAAGGGGAGAGAAACAAUAUGAAUGCAAUCAAUGUGGUAAAGCCUUUGCACAACAUGGUAAUCUUAAAAG